CGGUUAGAUCACCGAAGUCAAGCAUCAUUGGGCGCGAUCAGUACUUGGGUGGGUGACCACCUGGGAGCACCGCGUGCCGUU